rnacentral:tRNA from 1 species
AAAUGAGAAGCAAUAAAUGUAUUCAGUUUCGACCUGAAAUCUAGGUAUAAUAUAUACCCUUAUUUAAUA